CAGGCCUAACACAUGCAAGUCGAACGGAGAUAUUUGAGUUUACUUAGAUAUCUUAGUGGCGGACGGGUGAGUAACACGUGAGCAACCUGCCUCUGAGAGGGGGAUAGCUUCUGGAAACGGAUGGUAAUACCCCAUAACAUAACUGAAAGACAUCUUUUAGUUAUCAAAGAUUUAUCACUCAGAGAUGGGCUCGCGUCUGAUUAGCUAGAUGGUGAGGUAACGGCCCACCAUGGCGACGAUCAGUAGCCGGACUGAGAGGUUGAACGGCCACAUUGGGACUGAGACACGGCCCAGACUCCUACGGGAGGCAGCAGUGGGGAAUAUUGCACAAUGGGGGAAACCCUGAUGCAGCGAUGCCGCGUGGAGGAAGAAGGUUUUCGGAUUGUAAACUCCUGUCUUAAAGGACGAUAAUGACGGUACUUUAGGAGGAAGCUCCGGCUAACUACGUGCCAGCAGCCGCGGUAAUACGUAGGGAGCGAGCGUUGUCCGGAAUUACUGGGUGUAAAGGGAGCGUAGGCGGGAUUGCAAGUCAGAUGUGAAAGGCGGGAGCUUAACUCCCGAGCUGCAUUUGAAACUAGAGAGCUUGAGUGAAGUAGAGGCAGGCGGAAUUCCCUGUGUAGCGGUGAAAUGCGUAGAGAUAGGGAGGAACACCAGUGGCGAAGGCGGCCUGCUGGGCUUUAACUGACGCUGAGGCACGAAAGCGUGGGUAGCAAACAGGAUUAGAUACCCUGGUAGUCCACGCGGUAAACGAUGAAUACUAGGUGUUGGCAUCCAAAGGAUGUCGGUGCCGGCGCAAACGCAUUAAGUAUUCCACCUGGGGAGUACGUUCGCAAGAAUGAAACUCAAAGGAAUUGACGGGGACCCGCACAAGCAGUGGAGCAUGUGGUUUAAUUCGAAGCAACGCGAAGAACCUUACCAGGUCUUGACACGGAGAUGACCGGCUGGUAACGCAGCCUUUCCUUCGGGACAUCUCACACAGGUGGUGCAUGGUUGUCGUCAGCUCGUGUCGUGAGAUGUUGGGUUAAGUCCCGCAACGAGCGCAACCCUUAUUGCCAGUAGCCAGCAGGUAAAGCUGGGCACUCUGGCGAGACUGCCCGGGAUAACCGGGAGGAAGGUGGGGAUGACGUCAAAUCAUCAUGCCCCUUACGAUCUGGGCAACACACGUGCUACAAUGGCGUAAACAGAGAGAAGCGAACCUGCGAGGGGGAGCAAAUCUUCAAAUAACGUCUCAGUUCGGACUGUAGUCUGCAACCCGACUACACGAAGCUGGAAUUGCUAGUAAUCGCGAAUCAGCAUGUCGCGGUGAAUACGUUCCC
rnacentral:rRNA from 1 species